rnacentral:rRNA from 1 species
CCUACGGGUGGCAGCAGUGGGGAAUAUUGCACAAUGGGGGAAACCCUGAUGCAGCAACGCCGCGUGAAGGAAGACGGUUUUCGGAUUGUAAACUUCUGUUCUUAGUGAAGAAUAAUGACGGUAGCUAAGGAGCAAGCCACGGCUAACUACGUGCCAGCAGCCGCGGUAAUACGUAGGUGGCAAGCGUUGUCCGGAAUUACUGGGUGUAAAGGGAGCGUAGGCGGGAAAGCAAGUUUAAUGUUUAAGGUACGGGCUCAACCUGUACAAGCGUUCAAAACUGUUUUUCUUGAGUGGAGUAGAGGUAAGCGGAAUUCCUAGUGUAGCCGUGAAAUGCGUAAAUAUUAGGAGGAACACCAGUGGCGAAGGCGGCUUACUGGGCUUUAACUGACGCUGAGGCUCGAAAGCGUGGGUAGCAAACAGGAUUAGAUACCCUAGUAGUC